GGAAGAUGUACAUUGUGAGUAUAUACAAUUGACAAGGUAGAUGUACAUUGUGAGUAUAUACAAUUGACAAGGUAGAUGUACAUUGUGAGUAUAUACAAUUGACAAGGUAGAUGUCCAUUGUGAGUAUAUACAAUUGACAAGGUAGAUGUCCAUUGUGAGUAUAUACAAUUGACAAAGUAGAUGUACAUUGUGAGUAUAUACAGUUGACAAGGUAGAUGUACAUUGUGAGUAUAUAAAAUUGACAAGGUAGA